rnacentral:rRNA from 1 species
GACGAACGCUGGCGGCGUGCUUAACACAUGCAAGUCGAACGGAAAGGCCCAGCUUUUGUGGGGUGCUCGAGUGGCGAACGGGUGAGUAACACGUGAGUAACCUGCCCUGGACUUUGGGAUAACUUCAGGAAACUGGGGCUAAUACCGGAUAGGAGCGCCUGCUGCAUGGUGGGGGUUGGAAAGUUUCGGAGGUUGGGGAUUGACUCGCGGCUUAUCAGCUUGUUGGUGGGGUAGUGGCUAACCAAGGCUUUGACGGGUGGCCGGCCUGGGAGGGUGACCGGCCACAUUGGGACUGCGAUACGGCCCAGACUCCUACGGGAGGCAGCAGUGGGGAAUAUUGCACAAUGGGCGGAAGCCUGAUGCAGCAACGCCGCGUGCGGGAUGACGGCCUUCGGGUUGUAAACCGCUUUCGCCUGUGACGAAGCGUGAGUGACGGUAAUGGGUAAAGAAGCACCGGCUAACUACGUG